rnacentral:rRNA from 1 species
CGCUGGCGGCAGGCCUAACACAUGCAAGUCGAAGGAGAAGCCCCUUCGGGUGGUGGAAACUGGCGCACGGGUGAGUAACGCGUGGGUAUCUGCCUCGGGGUGGGGAAUAACCGCUGGAAACGGCGGCUAAUACCGCAUACGCCUUCAGAGGGAAAGCUCCGGCGCCCUGAGAGGAGCCCGCGUUGGAUUAGCUUGUUGGUGGGGUAAUGGCCUACCAAGGCUACGAUCUAUAGCUGGUCUGAGAGGAUGAUCAGCCACACUGGGACUGAGACACGGCCCAGACUCCUACGGGAGGCAGCAGUGGGGAAUAUUGGACAAUGGGCGCAAGCCUGAUCCAGCCAUGCCGCGUGAGUGAAGAAGGCCUUAGGGUUGUAAAGCUCUUUCACCUGCGAAGAUGAUGACGGUAGCAGGAGAAGAAGCCCCGGCUAACUCCGUGCCAGCAGCCGCGGUAAUACGGA